CACACACACACACACACACACAUCCCUAGCUUAGGGUCCCUCUAUUUGGCAUGGACUCAUUUUCUGCCAGGAAUGCAUAUCUUCCUUGCAGGCUGAGGCACUAUAUGGACUGUACUAAAAACACUCAACCCACUGAUUCUGGUGAAAUUAUUUUGGAGUGACAGGGAUAGGCAGGGGCUUUCCUGGGCUCAGGACUCUAGCUGGGGAGUGGCAAAAGCCACAGUGCAACUCAACUCAGGAGAAAAUAAAUGCCUGGAAAUUUGAGCCAGCUGUUUUUUUCUUACUCACCAAAGUGCAUUGAGUCAACCCUUAAUCUUUUGUCAAUAUUUGCGGACUGAAAACACGACAAACCACCCCCUGUGCCGCUCAGAGUGUAGACACUGACUGAUGGGACCAGGUACAAAAUCCCCUGGGACAAAACAGAACUUUCAUAACUGGCUGUAGAGUUAUUGUUUUUGCCUUUUGGAAGCUUCCACCUUGUGACGGGAAGAGCACUGUCAGCCCAACACAGAAACUCUGCCGCCUGGAGUCACGUGGAUCCAGAUGCGAAGGGACUCCAACGUCAUGCUAAGGAGUUUGGGCUAAGAAUUUGUACAGCCAUAUUACAGAUUUGGAAAAUGAUGUGAAGAGAAGCUAAGGGAUUUGCCACUGCCACUCAGCUGCCAAGGAUCAGAGGCAGGAUUCUAGUCUGUCCCCUUUGUUCCAUCACCCCUGCCUCCCCCUGGGCCCAGCCACCAUCACCUCUCCUGGGGGGAGCUCCUAAUUGUUCUCCCUUCUUCCUCUUGUGCGCUCCUCCAAACUAUCUCCAGCCAAAGUGAUCUUUAACAAUGUAAAUCCAGUUAUAUCACUCUUUCCAUUGUAACAGACAUUACUUCUACUUCUCAACGUCCAUCCUCCAACCAUUGUCCAGUGAUUCAGGCAGAAUUCCCUCCUGCUCAGGAGGUAGCCAUCCUGUGACCCUGGAAGAAACCAGCCCAAGGAAGGUGCUAACCUACAGAAGAAGGACAUGGCCAGGGUAAUCACAUAGACCCGGAGUUGAAGCCCUGACUGCACCACACCCGAAGCCUCCCCACCUUUCAACCUCUCGGUGAUGGUGAACCAAUAAACUCUUUUUAUUGUUCAA
rnacentral:lncRNA from 1 species